rnacentral:rRNA from 1 species
GACGAACCCAAGCGAACGUUAUUCGGAAUUACUGGGCUUAAAGCGCGUGUAGGCGGAUUGCCACGUCGACUGUUGAAAUCCCCCGGCUUAACCGGGGAACAGGCAUCGAUACGAGUAAUCUUGAGGUGGGUAGGGGAGACUGGAACUUCCGGUGGAGCGGUGAAAUGCGUAGAUAUCAGAAGGAACACCGGUGGCGAAAGCGACUCUCUGGUUCACUACUGACGCUGAGGUGCGAAAGCUAGGGGAGCAAACGGGAUUAGAAACCCGUGUAGU